rnacentral:lncRNA from 1 species
AGAAUCAAUUGUAAACAACAUGAAUUACGAACUGAAUCUUUGAAAGGAAAAUUCCUCAAAUCGUCGAGCUUCCCUCCUCUCGAUUAGCUUAAAUUUCGGGCUACUGCUCCAGCUACUUGAUCUGCUUUUGCUGGUUCAAUUAUAGAUUUUUUUUCCUUGCUUGAGUGCCAAGUACCUCUGCUCCUCUCCUUCUGUUUUUCAACUUCCCCCUUUUUAAGCUGUUGAACGCCCCCUUUUUUAAUGGAAUAGUAAUUCAAAAUCUGAUCUGCG